rnacentral:pre_miRNA from 1 species
UGUCUACUUCCUCCGUUCGGAAUUACUUGUCGCGAAAAUGGAUGUAUCUAGACGUAUUUAGAUACAUCCAUUUUCGCGACAAGUAAUUCCGAACGGAGGGAGUAGUUU